rnacentral:tRNA from 1 species
UCCCUGGCGGCUCAGAUGGUAAAGAAUCUGCCUGCAAUGCAGGAGACCCAGGUUCAAUCUCUGGUCAGGAAG